rnacentral:lncRNA from 1 species
UGCCGAUAACGUGAGCAGAAAAUAUCCUCCACAGCCUUCUCCCUCUAAAUAUUUACAGCCUAAAGACUGCUUCCCUACAGACUAGCUAACCUGUCCCCUUAAUCUAACUGUAUACCAGAAACCUCCCUGGUUCAGCCGUAAGCAAUAAUCCUGACUCCGGUCCAACUAUGUAUAAUAGACCCACUGAGUUUCCUAGGUGCUGUGGCUUCUCCAUCGGAGAGCCUAGACAGCCCAAAUCCAGCUCUUCUCUGUCUAUGUUUAUCUUUUUUUUUCCCCCAUUCCUUCAGUUUCCCAAUCAGGUCUGACCCUGGACCUGUGCAGGAUGAAGCAGACAAAAAUACAUCUCCUACCUUAGGAGCAUCCCCAGCGUAGGCUGGACCUGAAAGCUGUUCUUGUCUUCCAUGGAGAAUCAUUGCAGGCCAAUUUGCAUUUGGAAGAUUGGAGCAUCAAGAUUUGGAGGAAGUUGUAUAAAUCUGUCUGCACUGGUACCCACAUAGAAGAAUAUGCUUACUACUCUAAUCUGGCACAAAAGAGAGUUACUCUGACUUAAUAAAUUGCUUCAACUG